AUUGAACGCUGGCGGCAGGCCUAACACAUGCAAGUCGGGCGAGUGGCGGACGGGUGAGUAAUGUAUGGGGAUCUGCCUGAUGGAGGGGGAGAACUACUGGAAACGGUAGCUAAUACCGCAUACCAUCAGAUGACCCCAGAGGGGAUUAGCUUGUGGGUUAGGUAACGGCUCACCUAGGCGACGAUCCCGAGCUGGUCUGAGAGGAUGAUCAGCCACACUGGAACUGUGACACGGCCCGGACUCCUACGGGAGGCAGCAGUGGGGAAUAUUGCACAAUGGGCGCAAGCCUGAUGCAGCCAUGCCGCGUGUAUGAAGAAGGCCUUCGGGUUGUAAAGUACGUUCAGUCGGGAGGCGUUACCGACAGAAGAAGCACCGGCUAACUCCGUGCCAGCAGCCGCGGUAAUAC
rnacentral:rRNA from 1 species